GUCUAUGCCCAUACCAUUGAGCAUGCCUGAUCUCUGAUCUCUGCAGCUAAGCAGGGUCGGACCUGGUUAGUACUUGGAAGGAAGAAAGGGGUGAAGUGACUGCAGCUGUGGACA
rnacentral:rRNA from 1 species